CUGGAUUUGACAUCUCGAGAAUUUCUAUGAAAGUAGGAAGUGCCCUUCGGGGAACUCGAAGACAGGUGCUGCAUGGCUGUCGUUAGCUCGUGUCGUGAGAUGUUGGGUUAAGUCCCGCAACGAGCGCAACCCUUAUCUUCAGUUACCAUCAAUUCGGUUGGGGACUCUGGAGAUACUGCCCCGGUUAACGGGGAGGAAGGUGGGGAUGACGUCAAGUCCUCAUGGCCUUUAUGUCCAGGGCUACACACGUGCUACAAUGGUAUAUACAAAGGGUCGCAACCUCGCGAGAGUGAGCCAAUCCCAUAAAGUAUACCUCAGUUCGGAUAGGAGUCUGCAACUCGACUCCUUGAAGUUGGAAUCGCUAGUAAUCGCGGAUCAGCAUGCCGCGGUGAAUACGUUCC
rnacentral:rRNA from 1 species